rnacentral:rRNA from 1 species
UACGUAGGUGACCAGCGUUGUCCGGAUUUACUGGGCGUAAAGAGCGCGCAGGCGGUCGUUCAAGUCGAGUGUGAAAGCCCCCGGCUCAACUGGGGAGGGUCAUUCGAUACUGAUCGACUUGAAGGCAGGAGAGGGAAGCGGAAUUCCCGGUGUAGUGGUGAAAUGCGUAGAUAUCGGGAGGAACACCAGUGGCGAAGGCGGCUCUCUGGGCAUGACCUGACGCUGAGGAGCGAAAGUGUGGGGAGCGAACAGG